UCCAGAUCAUUUAGUUGGCUUUUAUAACAUAAGCCAAAUGAGAGAUAAAGGAGAAUCUAGCUCUGGUGCUGAACAACCUAUCAAAAUCAAUCCAGCUGAACGUGGGCCUCUUUCCUAUGUUGGUGGGUAUGUUGUUUCACAACUGUUCAAAAGGAACAAAGGAAAGUCUAGCCCACAAAACGAGGAACUUCAAGUAUUACUGCAGAAUAUGAAAUCUGCAGAGUCGAACAGUUUCAUAUCAGCCCGGACAAGAGGUGGCUUGGUCACACCAUGCAAUGAUUUGGUAGGAAUCUUAGAGGAAGCUGAAGUCCUUUUUAGAAACGAAAUUAGCAAAUCCAAACUGGUUCUAAGGAAUAUACCUACUGGCAAGGUAUGCUUUUCUACGCUGGAGUCCCCCACAGUAAAAUCAUUGUGGGAUAACAUUGUACUCGCAUCCGGGAUAAAUUCAGGUAGUUCCACUACAAAAUUAUGUUUGGAAAACAUUGUCAAACUUUAUUUAAAAGUAAGAUCUUUUUCCUAUGCUAAAGAUUAUGUAGUGAAAUAUAAGAUCAGAGAAAAGGAAGUGAAAAAAAGGGCACUUAGAAAGGACAUGAAACAAAAAUCUGAUGGGAAAUGAACUGUAUGUAAGUAGUGUAAAUAGUGGAG